AAUCAACGCUGGCGGCGUGCCUCAGACAUGCAAGUCGAACGCGAAACCUUCCUUCGGGAGGGAGUAGAGUGGCGCACGGGUGAGUAACACGUAGGUAAUCUACCUUUGGGUGGGGAAUAACAGCCGGAAACGGCUGCUAAUACCGCAUAAUGCAGCGGCUCGACAUCGAGACAGUUGUUAAAGCGGGGGAGUCGUAAGACCUCGCGCCUAAAGAGGAGCCUGCGGCAGAUUAGCUAGUUGGUAAGGUAACGGCUUACCAAGGCGACGAUCUGUAGCCGGCCUGAGAGGCGGGUCGGCCACACUGACACUGACAUACGGGUCAGACUCCUACGGGAGGCAGCAGUCGGGAAUUUUGGGUCGAAUGGGCGAAAGCCUGACCCAGCAACGCCGCGUGAAGGAUGAAAUCCCUCGGGA
rnacentral:rRNA from 1 species